UCUAAACUAAGUGUAUUUCACAAUACAGAAGCAGCUUUAGAGCAUGGCACGCGCUGAUUUAAGUGCGGACAAUGUCGAAAAUGUGUUUAGCGAAACGCCACUCGAUGCAUUAAAUUAUGCCUCUUUGAAAAUACUGGAAGACCGUUUAAACCCUGUCGGAAAACUAGUGGAAUUGAAAGACGGCUCUGGAAUUUAUGUUUCUGACAAUUUUACAGGUAUAGCAGAGCAGGAACAUUUCUCACCUGAGGAAGUAAAAGACAUUAGUGAUAAUCCGAACCCAACCAAAGAGCUUAUCACUGAAAUGUCCGAGAAAUCUUGUACCAUUGGCGACCUUUCCAGAGACCUUUUGAACAUGGGGCGCAUUGAUAUUGUACAAAAUAGUCAAGCAAACUGGGUUAAAGAUUGCCAUGUAUACGCAGAAAAGCGCGGUGCGGCUCCGCAAAUGGUUAUGGAAAUUCCAGAUCAAGAAAUUGAAGAAGAGGACUGUGACGAAGUAAAUCUUGGACAUACAAAACAAUACGAUGCAUUUCUGAGUUAUGCAUACCCAAAUUUACGCAUUGCCAAGAGGACGAUAAGAAAACUAGAAAAUGAAGGAUUCACAUUGUUUGUACCAGGUCGUGAUGACCUACCAGGAGGAGCGAAACAUGUACUCACAGCUUAUGUGAUUGAGAAAAGGUGUAAACGUGUCAUCAUCCUGUUGACAAAAGCAUUCCGUUCCAGUCCGGAGUGCGACUUCCAGGUCAGAUUUGCAAACGCUCUCGAUCCAGGAGCUAUAGAGAUGAAGAUCAUCCCUGUAAUUUGUGAAGACAAUGUUGAGGUGCCCAGGUUCCUCAACUUUAUACACACCUGUGACAUCACCAAGAAUGAAUGGUCUAAACUUUAUAGGGCCCUUUCUCAUCAGUGCACCGGCGAAAAUACAAGGCUUCUGGAAAGUUUAACAUACCCUCCACCGGUUAAUGUUGAAAAUGAAUUCCGGCAACUAAACAUACAUACGGAUAACAUAUCAGAAGAUCGUUAUCAACCUGAUGGAGACUCUGGAAUAGUGCAUGACAUUAAAGCUCAAGAUGGGAAUGGGAACGAAGUUUACGUGUAGUUCUUCUUGCCCGCGGGAUGAUAGACGCAGUAGAUUGACGCAACGUCAGCAUAAAUCAAAUGUAUGGAUAUCUUGCGGAAAAUAGGUCUACGACGGAGUGGAAAUCUAGAAACUGUAUCAAAAUUGAUCUGAAGUAGAUGAACUUUAUAUGAAACAAAGAACAAUUUCUUUUAUUGGUCUAUAACCUGAGUAAAAACUUGCGCAAUUAUCUCCCCUUCUGGUUCUUCAGGUAAGCAUUGUCGCCGGUCAUGACUGUAUGGUAUAUCUGUAUUUACGACAAUCAGUUAACCCCUGGUGCAUCAAUAGAAUUUGUCGAGUUUGGUUUUUAAAGUCAAACACGGUUUUCGCAUUCACUCUGUAUUCUGGAAGUUUAUUCGAUACAUUGUCUGUUCUGUGUGAAUUUCAGUUCAUUCACGCGGCUCUGUUAGUUUGACCUUAUAGAUUGUCUUGUUUAGAUAACUUGAGAAGAUUGUUCAUGUCAACAUCAUCAAUUUUAUGCACACACUAAUAUUCGAA
rnacentral:misc_RNA from 1 species